UACAGAGGCCCCAAGUGUUAGCCGGAAUUAUUGGGCGUAAAGCGUCCGUAGACGGAAUGAUAAGUUCGCUGUUAAAUCUUGUAGCUCAACUACAAGCGUGCAGUGGAUACUGUCAUUCUUGAGGAACAGAGAGGUAAGCGGAACUCAUAGUGGAGCGGUGAAAUGCGUUGAUAUUAUGGGGAACACCAAUUGCGAAGGCAGCUUACUGGCUGUCUCCUGACGUUAAUGGACGACAGCGUAGGUAGCGAACGGG
rnacentral:rRNA from 1 species